CUAACAAGUGUCGGAAACAGCCAAGAGGCUGUGCGACUCGUCCCUCCUGCGCCCGCGCAUUGCCUUUCUCCUUUUACUAUCCGGCUCUUCAACCACUAGGUCUCUGCCAUUACGGACAUGAUGGAGGUUCGGUCCAAGACAGCCGUGAACACGCGCGCCAGCUUGGCUUCCCGGUUGCCCAAGAUGCAUGAGGAGGCGCCAGCGACGAGCGCCUCGCUCCAUCGAAAAAUCGAAACAACCUACGACGCGGCCUACGCUGCGCGUCCGGCAAGUCGUCUUACCAAUGCCCAUAGUGCUCACGCCGCCACGGAGUGCGCUGUGGCGGCGGACGGUGCCGCUCUCGCAAGCGGAGAGCAGACCUACAUCCUGCACCACCAUCCCACCUCCGCUUGGGAGUCAGCGUCCCACGCUGCCGCGCGCAACCUGCAGGCGGAGCGCCCGCUUGACUUUUACGCAUCGGCUCGCAAAAUCGAACGGGAGGACGAUGACCGGCGCGGCGGUCUGGUGGGCCGCAUGCAACGUUCGCUCGACAUCCGUACCAAGCGCGCUGAGGAUGCUAGACUGCGCCCACCCAGUCCCACCUACCACCCGAUUGAGCCGCGAUCGAUGCCAGCCGCAAUGGCACAGGAGAAAUUUGGUGUGAAGAGCAACUACUUGGACAUUGUAGAGUGCACCCAGCUGAGGCCGGAAACGGAGGAGCAGAUCGCCUACGACACCGCCCCUCUGACGAGGCUUCCAGGCGAGACACUCUCACAGGAGCUGAAGGUGCAGAGUAAGGUCAUCACACAAAUGGGUACCUCAAACGAGUUGUUCCGCGGCACUCCCAAGCACCUGGCGGACACGUCGGUUAGCUACAUGGGGCACGUCCCAGUAGCACAACACAACGUGUCCUGCAUCCACCACGGCGACGACACACGCCGGUUGUUUGCCAAGUCCACCAUGACCAUGUCAGAGCAUGGCGGAGGCAUCGACAUUGCUGUCAUCGGCUCUAACUUGGUCACUCGCCACCGUGGCGGUAAAAAUGCCAGGGCACCUCGCGCACUUGAACCGAAGACGACCGACGCCAUCAAUCAGACGGUGGAGGGGCGCAUGUUGCAGCAGACUCUCUACGGAACGCUCGAGCGCGAGCGGCGCAUGAACAUCCGCGACGACAUGCAAGGCCACCGCUACUUCUAGCCGGCACAGUGACGUGCCAAACGACCAUGUACAGUGCUCCGUUUCCCUCACCCUUGCACUUAGCCACCUUCACUAACAGUGUAAACGGUGCCCGUGCUAUGUUAUCAUCACGACAGGGAUCCUGAGAAAACGAUGUGUUUAUGCGCACACGGGCUUCCUCGUUCUUGCGAUGCUGGCUUGAUCUCGCCGUUUAUGAUUUCGCUCUUCCCUUCCAUGUUUUUCGCUCUUCUGUUUGGGUCAUGUGGAGAGCUCAUUUCUGUGCUGCAUUUUUCUUUGGCAUGUGCGUGUACGUUUCUCAG
rnacentral:misc_RNA from 1 species